rnacentral:rRNA from 1 species
CCUAUCAGCUUGUUGGCGAGGUAACGGCUCACCAAGGCAACGACGGGUAGCUGGUCUGAGAGGAUGGCCAGCCGCAUUGGGACUGAGAGACGGCCCAGACUCCUACGGGAGGCAGCAGUGGGGAAUCUUGCGCAAUGGCCGAAAGGCUGACGCAGCGACGCCGCGUGGGGGAGGAAGGCCUUCGGGUUGUAAACCCCUGUUGCCCGGGACGAAUGUGCUCUUUAGAGGGCAUUGACGGUACCGGGUGAGGAAGCACCGGCUAACUCCGUGCCAGCAGCCGCGGUAAUACGGAGGGUGCGAGCGUUGUCCGGAAUCACUGGGCGUAAAGGGCGCGUAGGCGGCUCAUGAAGGCUGUGGUGAAAGUCCGAGGCUCAACCUCGGAUCGGCCGUGGCGACUCGUGGGCUGGAGCACUGUAGAGGCGGGUGGAAUUCCGGGUGUAGCGGUGGAAUGCGUAGAGAUCCGGAAGAACACCAGUGGCGAAGGCGGCCCGCUGGGCAGUGGCUGACGCUGAAGCGCGACAGCGUGGGGAGCAAACAGGAUUAGAUACCCUG